GCCUAUGUUCACCUUUAAACCUAAUUCCCCUCAACACAAUGUCCCUCUAAAUCUCCUGCAUGGGUUCACUGAUGAAUUCCUUGUCAUUACUGCAUUGGUUACAGCAUUGUACAAUGCACUGCACUAAUGUUUACCAUUAAAGGGACACUCCAGGCACCCAGACCACUUCUGCCCAUUGGAGUGGUCUGGGUGCCAACUCCCACUACCCUUAACCCUGCAACUGUAAUUAUUGCAGUUUUUUUAUAAACUGCAAUAAUUACAUUGCAGGGUUAUCUCCUCCUCUAGUGGCUGUCUGCUAGACAGCCACUAGAGAGCACUUCCGUGUCCCUAGCACAGGAAACCUGUGCUAGAGUGUCGCUGGACAUCCUCACGCUAUGUGAGGACCUCCAGCGUCGCUCAUUUCCCCAUAGGAAAGCAUUGAAAAGCAAUGUGCAUUAGGUCUCCCCGGCCGGUGGGCGGGAUCAGUCGACGUAAUGAAGAGGAGGAGCGGCGGCGGAGGGAGAAGCAGCGACAUGGGACAUCGUCGCUGCCUCUGGUAAGUUACUGAAGGGGUUUUCAUUGUUUUCCUGGCACUGGAGUUUCCCUUUAACACUAUAAUGUCACCACUGUUUUUAAUGCAGUAACAUUAUAAGAUCAAAGUGCAUAAUGUAAAUAAUGUAUUUUCACAGCGGGUUGUCUGAGAAAACCACUGUUGUAUACCCUAUCCAUUGACAAAUAAUAUUACAAUUGGAACAAUGAUAUAAAAAAAUAAAAAACUGUGCCACAAAAAAAGGUCCUUAUAAAGGCUUUACUAUGCAUUUAUUCUCAGUCAGAGAUCUCCAAUUAGUUGGCUUGGAAAUCAGCCAAUAACUGUCCAGUCACUAUAUCUUCUUAAUAUCUUCACUGCAGGACAAUGGGAG